rnacentral:rRNA from 1 species
AGGUCAAGCGAACAAGGGCGCAGGGCGAAUGCCUUGGCACUGGGAGCCGAUGAAAGACGUGAUAAGCUGCGAUAAGCUUCGGGGAGCUGCAAAUAAGCAUUGAUCCGGAGAUUUCUGAAUGAGGAAACUCACCUGGGUUCAUACUCAGGUACGUUAUACUGAACUUAAAAAUAGGUAUAUCGAGGGAACCGCCUGAACUGAAACAUCUAAGUAGGGCGAGGAAGAGACAUCAAACGAGAUUCCGUAAGUAGUGGCGAGCGAACGCGGAAGAGGGCAAACCGGGAGGAGAAAUACUUCCGGGGGACGGACCGCAUUUAGGACUUAAGUUGUUAACCGAACGGCAUGGGAAGGCCGGUCAGAGAGUGUGAGAACCACGUAGGUGAAAACGACAAGAGCUGAGCGAGUUCCAGAGUACGGCCAGACACGUGAAACCUGGUCGGAAUACGGGGGGACCACCCUCCAACCCUAAAUACUACCCAGUGACCGAUAGCGUAUAGUACUGUGAAGGAAAGGUGAAAAGCACCCCGGGAGGGGAGUGAAAAAGAACCUGAAACCCUGUGCCUACAAGCACCUAGAGCACGUCAAUGUGUGAUAGGGUACUUUUUGUAGAACGGUCCGGCGAGCGAUUGUAUGCAGCAAGGUUAAGGACUUAAGGUCUGGAGCCGAAGCGAAAGCGAGUUUGAAAAGGGCGUUAAGUUGCAUACAAUGGGCCCGAAACCGGGUGACCUACCCAUGGUCAGGUUGAAGUGGAAGUAAAAUUCCAUGGAGGACCGAACCGACCUCCGUUGAAAAGGCGGCGGAUGAACUGUGGGUAGCGGAGAAAUUCCAAUCGAACCCGGAGAUAGCUGGUUCUCCCCGAAAUAGUUUUAGGACUAGCCUCAAGUUAGAUACCUGGAGGUAAAGCACUGAAUAGCCUAGCGGCCGAGAGGUUAGCGAAGCUUAUCAAACUCAGAAUGCCAGAGUAUUGAUGCUUGGGAGUCAGACAGUGUCAGAUAAAUGUCAUUGUCAAAAGGGAAACAGCCCAGAUCUACAGCUAAGGUCCCAAAGUCAGGUUAAGUGGAAAACGAUGUGAAGAUACGUAGACAACCAGGAUGUUGGCUCAGAAGCAGCCACACAUUCAAAGAGUGCGUAAUAGCUCACUGGUCGAGCGUCUUUGCGCGGAGAAUUUAACGGGGCUAAACCUGACACCGAAGCUUAGGCAAUACAGCAAUGUAUUGGGUAGGGGAGCGUUGUAUACGCGGUGAAACAGUAGCGCAAGCGGCUGUGGAGUGUAUAGAAGUGAGAAUGCCGGAAUGAGUAGCGCGAAUGCAGUGAGAAUCUGCAUGGCCGAAAGCCUCAGGUUUCUGGAGGAAGGUUCGUCCGCUCCAGGUUAGUCGGGAGCUAAGGUGAGGCCUAACGGCGUAGCCGAUGCACAGACGGUAGAGAUUCCGUCACCACCAAAAGAGUUAAACACAGGGACACAUUUGAAGUCUCGGAGCCGGGUGUUGGUUCCGGUAGCGAUCGAGGGAAAUUAGUACCGAAGUCCGGGAUGGAAGAUGGCGAGAAAAGCUGUGUGUAUUUCUGCGGUGCCCGUACCGCAAACCGACACAGGUAGGUAGGAAGAAGAUUCUAAGGCCAACGGGAGAAGGGUUGUUAAGGAACUCGGCAAAUUGACCCCGUAACUUCGGGAGAAGGGGUGCUCCAGAGAUGGAGCCGCAGAGAAUCGGCCCAAGCAACUGUUUACCAAAAACACAGGUUUGUGCUAAAUCGAAAGAUGACGUAUACGAGCUGACGCCUGCCCGGUGCUGGAAGGUUAAGAGGAGAUGUGCAAGCAUUGAAUCGAAGCCCCAGUGAACGGCGGCCGUAACUAUAACGGUCCUAAGGUAGCGAAAUUCCUUGUCAGGUAAGUUCUGACCCGCAUGAAAGGCGUAAUGAUUUGGGCACUGUCUCGACAGCCCGCCCGGCGAAAUUGUAGUACCGGUGAAGAUGCCGGUUACCCGCGACAAGACGGAAAGACCCCAUGGAGCUUUACUGUAGCCUAAUAUUGGGUUUCGAUGUUGCAUGCACAGGAUAGAUGGGACACAGGGAAACAAGUGCUUUGGCAUUUGUGGAGUGGCCGUUGGGAUACCAUCCUUGCGAUAUUGGAAUUCUAACCUGCGCCUUUGAAUCAAGGCGGGGGACAUUGUUAGGUGGGCAGUUUGACUGGGGCGGUCGCCUCCUAAAGAGUAACGGAGGCGUUCAAAGGUUCGCUCAGCUUGAACGGAAAUCAAGCAAAAGAGUGCAAACGCAGAAGCGAGCCUAACUGCGAGACUGACGGGUCGAGCAGUAACGAAAGUUGGAGUUAGUGAUCCGGUGGUAUGUGAGUGGAAAUGCCAUCGCUCAACGGAUAAAAGUUACCCUGGGGAUAACAGGCUGAUCUCCCCCAAGAGUCCACAUCGACGGGGAGGUUUGGCACCUCGAUGUCGGCUCAUCGCAUCCUGGGGCUGUAUUCGGUCCCAAGGGUUUGGCUGUUCGCCAAUUAAAGCGGUACGCGAGCUGGGUUCAGAACGUCGUGAGACAGUUCGGUCCCUAUCUGUCGUGGGCGCAGGAUAUUUGAUGGGAGCUGUUCCUAGUACGAGAGGACCGGAGCGGACGUACCUCUGGCGCACCAGUUGUUCUGCCAAGGGCAUAGCUGGGCAACUAUGUACGGAUCGGAUAAACGCUGAAAGCAUCUAAGCGUGAAGCCGACCCAAAGAUAAGAUAUCCCAUUGUUUCAAACAAGUAAGACCCCUUGAAGACUACAAGGUUGAUAGGCACGAUGUGUAAGUGGAGCGAUCCAUUCAGCAAGCGUGUACUAAUAGGUCGAGGGCUUGACCACA